UAACGGCGAGUGAAGCGGCAACAGCUCAAAUUUGAAAUCUGGCCUUCGGGUCCGAGUUGUAAUUUGUAGAGGAUGCUUUUGGCGCGGUGCCUUCCGAGUUCCCUGGAACGGGACGCCUUAGAGGGUGAGAGCCCCGUACGGUUGGACACCAAGCCUCUGUAAAGCUCCUUCGACGAGUCGAGUAGUUUGGGAAUGCUGCUCUAAAUGGGAGGUAAAUUUCUUCUAAAGCUAAAUAUUGGCCAGAGACCGAUAGCGCACAAGUAGAGUGAUCGAAAGAUGAAAAGCACUUUGAAAAGAGGGUUAAAUAGCACGUGAAAUUGUUGAAAGGGAAGCGUUUGCGACCAGACUUUUUCCUAGCGGAUCAUCCGGUGUUAUCACCGGUGCACUUUGCUAGGUUAAGGCCAGCAUCGGUUUCUGUAGGGGGAUAAAAACUCGGGGAACGUAGCUCCCUCGGGAGUGUUAUAGCCCCUUGUAUAAUACCUUUACGGGGACCGAGGACCGCGCUUUUUGCAAGGAUGCUGGCGUAAUGGUUGUCAACGACCCGUCUUGAAACACGGACCAAGGAGUCGAACAUUUGUGCGAGUGUUUGGGUGUUAAACCCUCACGCGUAAUGAAAGUGAACGGAGGUGAGAGCCCUUACGGGUGCAUCAUCGACCGAUCCUGAUGUCUUCGGAUGGAUUUGAGUAAGAGCAUAACUGUUCGGACCCGAAAGAUGGUGAACUAUGCGUGGAUAGGGUGAAGCCAGAGGAAACUCUGGUGGAGGCUCGCAGCGGUUCUGACGUGCAAAUCGAUCGUCAAAUCUGCGCAUGGGGGCGAAAGACUUAUCGAACAUCUAGUAGCUGG
rnacentral:rRNA from 1 species